UUUGAAAUAAAUAGUAUCUUUUUCUUUAGCAAAGCAUAUAGAGCAUCAAGUGCUUGCUUCCUGGACACAUUUGGGACUAUUUACUUGUGCUUUUUAUGUAUGUUCAUUUUGGAUGUGUCCUUUUGGCCUCAGGUUACGGUCAGGACAUGGUGGUCUGAAGAUGGAAAGUGGUUUGCAGUCCACAGAUGCAGUAGCCUAGAGGGCUACCAGAGAAUCAUGGACCUUUCAGUACUGCAAAGAUUGUUUGCUGUCAGCUGUGCUCUGAAAUUAAAUCAGCCUCUCCUUUGCUAGACUUCUAGGGCCUUUUGGAGAUAAUUUGGAAUUAGAUUUUAAGUGGGGAACUUGGCAUAUCUUAGCAUCAGCUGAACAUAUUGUAAUGGCCUAUUUCUGCAUCUGAAAAGUCCAUGGAAAACAACUGGAUUGAUCAAGCUAGCGCAUGAGAAUUGGAAAAAACAGACUGUGCACAAGAUGCUGUUUUUCACUGCCAGUUCCAAGGUCCUAGAAAUGGCUGUGUAUGUAAACACGGCUGCUUGCCGUAGAUCACUUCUGUGUAGUAAGGCAAGCAGCACAUGGUGCUGUACAAAUUUAAAAUGUGCCAAGAUGAAGGCACCAGCACCAGCAAACAAACACAAAGCUAGUCAUGCAGAAGAUUACCAAACAAUAAUAACUAGAAACUUAAAUACGAACCCUUUUUAUUUAAAAUAAUAAUAAUUCCUGUUUUCUGUUUACUUUGUUAUUUGCAUUUGUUACUUUAUGAACACAAAUUUAUCUUAGCUGUGGUGAAUAGUGAUGACAGAAGAAAAUCCAAAGGGAUUAUAUAUGGACUGUAUACAUGGGCCACUCUAAAACCAUACCACAUGCAGAACAAGGCAAAUCCCAUCACAGGUAAAAUUAGCAAUUUUUUUAAUAACAGUACAAUCAAAACAGGCAAUGACAAACUCCAGAUGAAGUGCCCAUAUCAGAGGACUUUCAUAUUCUUCAAACAAUCCAUGAGGGUGAUAAACAAGCAACCUACAUGGCUGUAA